AAAGUCACACGAAAGUGGAUUAGCGACCCACAUCGGCCCCGAGUCAUGCAGAGCUGCUCGCGAGGGCGGCGUCGAAGCGUUGACAGGGGAACGUGCGACCGUCAAGCAGCAAAGCA
rfam:Acidobacteria bacterium 13_2_20CM_58_27 13_2_20cm_scaffold_64, whole genome shotgun sequence.